GGGACUUUUACAAAGCUGGGAUUUAUUCAGUUUAAUCUAUUUUAUGCAAACCGCGAAUUAUUCGUUAUAAACCCAACCGGGAACAUCCAUAGGCGAUUCAACCUGCCAUACAGGACUACCAACGGUUUAAUCUAUUUUAUGCAAACCGCGAAUUAUUCGUUAUAAACCCAACCGGGAACAUCCAUAGGCGACUCAACCUGCCAUACAGGAC
rnacentral:lncRNA from 1 species